rnacentral:lncRNA from 1 species
AUGUUUGUUUACUCAAUAUUUGCUUAUUUAUUUAUUUAUUUAUUUAUUUAUAUUAUUUUUACGUUUUACUCAGUCUCACGUGCUGGAAUCAUCCUGGCCCCUCUCACCAUCCACAAGGGUGACUUAAUUCAGUCUGAACUUGCCUAUCUCAGAAAUUUGAAGUGAAACAGGACCAUCAAUCAAAAAUGACAGUAAGUACAUGAUCACAUUUUUUGUAUUCAUAUAAAAUUUUCAUUGAAGCAAAACUCAAAUGACUAGACUAUUAGAAAACUUCCUGUAUUUUAAAUAAAAUAGGCUAGAGUAAGCUGAAAUGGCUGAAAACAAAAAAAUUAUUGAUUAUUUUCAUUGCAUGUCCAUUGUGAAUUGUCUGAGGCCUUUGCUCUAAUUCCAC